AUGAACGCUAGCUACAGGCUUAACACAUGCAAGCCGAGGGGCAUCAGGAAGAAAGCUUGCUUUCUUUGCUGGCGACCGGCGCACGGGUGAGUAACACGUAUCCAACCUGCCCUUUACUCGGGGAUAGCCUUUCGAAAGAAAGAUUAAUACCCGAUGGCAUAAUGAUUCCGCAUGGUUUCAUUAUUAAAGGAUUCCGGUAAAGGAUGGGGAUGCGUUCCAUUAGGUUGUUGGUGAGGUAACGGCUCACCAAGCCUUCGAUGGAUAGGGGUUCUGAGAGGAAGGUCCCCCACAUUGGAACUGAGACACGGUCCAAACUCCUACGGGAGGCAGCAGUGAGGAAUAUUGGUCAAUGGGCGCUAGCCUGAACCAGCCAAGUAGCGUGAAGGAUGAAGGCUCUAUGGGUCGUAAACUUCUUUUAUAUAAGAAUAAAGUGCAGUAUGUAUACUGUUUUGUAUGUAUUAUAUGAAUAAGGAUCGGCUAACUCCGUGCCAGCAGCCGCGGUAAUACGGAGGAUCCGAGCGUUAUCCGGAUUUAUUGGGUUUAAAGGGAGCGUAGGUGGACUGGUAAGUCAGUUGUGAAAGUUUGCGGCUCAACCGUAAAAUUGCAGUUGAUACUGUCAGUCUUGAGUACAGUAGAGGUGGGCGGAAUUCGUGGUGUAGCGGUGAAAUGCUUAGAUAUCACGAAGAACUCCGAUUGCGAAGGCAGCUCACUGGACUGCAACUGACACUGAUGCUCGAAAGUGUGGGUAUCAAACAGGAUUAGAUACCCUGGUAGUCCACACAGUAAACGAUGAAUACUCGCUGUUUGCGAUAUACAGUAAGCGGCCAAGCGAAAGCAUUAAGUAUUCCACCUGGGGAGUACGCCGGCAACGGUGAAACUCAAAGGAAUUGACGGGGGCCCGCACAAGCGGAGGAACAUGUGGUUUAAUUCGAUGAUACGCGAGGAACCUUACCCGGGCUUAAAUUGCAGUGGAAUGAUGUGGAAACAUGUCAGUGAGCAAUCACCGCUGUGAAGGUGCUGCAUGGUUGUCGUCAGCUCGUGCCGUGAGGUGUCGGCUUAAGUGCCAUAACGAGCGCAACCCUUAUCUUUAGUUACUAACAGGUUAUGCUGAGGACUCUAGAGAGACUGCCGUCGUAAGAUGUGAGGAAGGUGGGGAUGACGUCAAAUCAGCACGGCCCUUACGUCCGGGGCUACACACGUGUUACAAUGGGGGGUACAGAAGGCAGCUAGCGGGUGACCGUAUGCUAAUCCCAAAAGCCUCUCUCAGUUCGGAUCGAAGUCUGCAACCCGACUUCGUGAAGCUGGAUUCGCUAGUAAUCGCGCAUCAGCCACGGCGCGGUGAAUACGUUCCCGGGCCUUGUACACACCGCCCGUCAAGCCAUGGGAGCCGGGGGUACCUGAAGUACGUAACCGCAAGGAUCGUCCUAGGGUA
rnacentral:rRNA from 1 species